rnacentral:lncRNA from 1 species
AGAGAGAAAAGUUGGUGAACAGUAUUUUGAAUGUUAAGAAUAGCAGAGCUCUGAUCAGAAGUGACCUACCGGUACUGUUCACUUACCCCCUUUUAAUAGAUGAGAUUCUUGUAACCGUCGGACGUGGUUCCGUAUUUUAUAGCGCUAAAUUAUCAGACCAUAAUUAUGUAGUAGGUCAUUAAUUUUCACUAAUUGUGCUGUGAUAUGCGAUGG